UUGUUGGUAAGGUAAAAGCUUACCAAGGCUUCGAUCAGUAGCUGGUCUGAGAGGACGACCAGCCACACUGGGACUGAGACACGGCCCAGACUCCUACGGGAGGCAGCAGUGGGGAAUUUUGGACAAUGGGGGCAACCCUGAUCCAGCCAUGCCGCGUGAGUGAAGAAGGCCUUCGGGUUGUAAAGCUCUUUCAGCCGGAACGAAACGGUUACGGUUAAUACCCGUGACUACUGACGGUACCGGAAGAAGAAGCACCGGCUAACUACGUGCCAGCAGCCGCGGUAAUACGUAGGGUGCGAGCGUUAAUCGGAAUUACUGGGCGUAAAGCGUGCGCAGGUGGUUUUGUAAGUCAGAUGUGAAAGCCCCGGGCUCAACCUGGGAACUGCGUUUGAAACUACAAGACUAGAGUGUGGCAGAGGGGGGUGGAAUUCCGCGUGUAGCAGUGAAAUGCGUAGAGAUGUGGAGGAACACCGAUGGCGAAGGCAGCCCCCUGGGUCAACACUGACGCUCAGGCACGAAAGCAUGGGGAGCAAACAGGAUUAGAUACCCUGGUAGUCCAUGCCCUAAACGAUGUCAACUAGUUGUCGGGCCUUUACGGGCUUGGUAACGUAGCUAACGCGUGAAGUUGACCGCCUGGGGAGUACGAUCGCAAGAUUAAAACUUAAAUGAAUUGACGGGGACCCGCACAAGCGGUGGAUUAUGUGGAUUAAUUCGAUGCAACGCGAAAAACCUUACCUACCCUUGACAUGUAUCGAAGCCCGCAGAAAAGCGGGGGUGCCCGAAAGGGAACGAUAACACAGGUGCUGCAUGGCUGUCGUCAGCUCGUGUCGUGAGAUGUUGGGUUAAGUCCCGCAACGAGCGCAACCCUUGUCAUUAAUUGCCAUCAUUUAGUUGGGCACUUUAAUGAGACUGCCGG
rnacentral:rRNA from 1 species